CGGGGAGGCAGGGAGGGUUAGUUCUCAGUGCAGGGAGAAGUGAAACCUGCACCGGAGGGUUUGAAUCCGGGAAGCAGCAAGAUGUGCUUUCAUGGUCCAAAGCAAUCUGGCUGCCUUGUGGGACGUGCACUGGGCAAGAGGAGGUGAAGGGGUGCAUGAGGAGGCCCGGGCCACCGUUUGGCGCCAUAAGAUGCUGGCUGGGGCCAGGAUGCUGGCUGGUGGGGGGG